rnacentral:lncRNA from 1 species
GAAGCACCUCAUAAUUUAAACAAUUAAACAUCAAUGUGUCCUCUGGCAACAAGAAAAGUGUGAGGCCAAACAUGACAUGUACAACCGGAGAUGUGAAUGAAGAAAACAGCGAUAAAGGCAGUAUAUGGUUCACAGAUUCACAUAAAAAUGCAACCUCAACUAAAAACGGCAAGGCAAUGCAGUUACUAACGAAAGAUAACGGUGUAAAUAGAUAAUAAACAUCGCGCUCGCUUACUUAAAAAGGUUUGACAGCACACGAGAAUGCACCGAGCACAGACAUUGCAUUAAGGUUGUAUGCACUUUACCUGAAUACAUGCCCUACCCCUCGAGAUCAGGGGAAGACGAGAACUGGGAUUUUGACACCCCAUGUCUGCAAAAGGGAAC